AACAGGCAUGCUUCCGCCGACCCCAAUUUGGCGAGAAAAGUGAGAACAGUGGGCGUUGUUGUGCCCAUUUUCUGGGUAACAUGGAGUGUGGUCUUAGAACGCUGCUUCGUGAAUGCUCACUUUGGGAUUUUGACCCUUCACUACAAUUGCAAUGAAAACGAUUAGUACUAUAAAAAAAACCCAACUUUGUUCUUUUGUAAGCGUUUUCGUGAUCCCAUACACACCCUUGUUAAAGUUCGAUCACCAUGGAACUCUCUGUGCCCUUCAGAUUUCGAUCAAGGAACCUCAACUCACCCUUUACGCACAAACCCAUCAGCCAUCCUUUGAAGCAUCAACCACCCUUUUCAAUCAAGCCCAAGAAUUCUAC
rnacentral:lncRNA from 1 species